AUUGAACGCUGGCGGCAUGCCUAACACAUGCAAGUCGAACGGUAACGACGAAGACAAUCCUUCGGGUGCGUCUUUGGGCGACGAGUGGCGAACGGGUGAGUAAUGCUUGGGAAUCUACCUGACAGUGGGGGACAACCCGGGGAAACCCGGGCUAAUACCGCAUACGUCCUACGGGAGAAAGCGGGGGUCUUCGGACCUCGCGCUGACGGAUGAGCCCAAGUCCGAUUAGCUUGUUGGUAGGGUAAUGGCCUACCAAGGCGACGAUCGGUAGCUGGUCUGAGAGGAUGAUCAGCCACACUGGGACUGAGACACGGCCCAGACUCCUACGGGAGGCAGCAGUGGGGAAUAUUGGACAAUGGGCGCAAGCCUGAUC
rnacentral:rRNA from 1 species